AAGGCAGACUGGGCAAUCGCGGUAUUUCGGUAUCGAGGAAGGUCCGGACUCCACAGGGCGGGAUAGCGGCUAACGGCCGCCCGUUCGGGCUCGCGGCUUCGGCCGCGUGCCCGGGCGAGGAACAGGGCCACAGAGACGAGUCUGCCGCGAGGGCGCGUGCGCACCCGUACGGCCAUCUCCGUACGGCGCGUCUUGGCAACAAGGCGCGGCGCGGCAGGGUGAAACGCGGCAACCUCUAUCCGGAGCAACAUCAAAUAGGCAUGCGCCGGCCCCUCGGGGCUGAAAGGGCGGCUCGUCCGAGCAUGCGGGUAGAUGGCUAGAGUGCGCCAGCAAUGUCGCACCCAGAGGAAUGAUUGCCCGCCGAACCUCGCGUGCGGCGUACAGAAUCCGGCCUAUAGGUCUGUCUUGCCU
rnacentral:RNase_P_RNA from 1 species